rnacentral:rRNA from 1 species
AGUGAACGCUGGCGGUAGGCCUAACACAUGCAAGUCGAACGGCAGCACAGUAAGAGCUUGCUCUUACGGGUGGCGAGUGUCGGACGGGUGAGGAAUACAUCGGAAUCUACUUUUUCGUGGGGGAUAACGUGGGGAAACUUACGCUAAUACCGCAUACGACCUACGGGUGAAAGCAGGGGAUCUUCGGACCUUGCGCGAUUGAAUGAGCCGAUGUCGGAUUAGCUAGUUGGCGGGGUAAAGGCCCACCAAGGCGACGAUACCUAGCUGGGCUGAGAGGGUGAUCAGGCAGACUGGAACUGAGAAACGGUCCAGACUCCUACGGGAGGCAGCAGUGGGGAAUAUUGGACGAUGGGCGCAAGCCUGAUCCAGCCAUACCGCGUGGGUGAAGAAGGCCUUCGGGUUGUAAAGCCCUUUUGUUGGGAAAGAAAAGCAGCAGGUUAAUACCCCGCUGUUCUGACGGUACCCAAAGAAUAAGCACCGGCUAACUUCGUG